UUUAUUAUUUUAAAAUGAGGACGUUUUUAGCAGAGGCCAGCUUAGGAGUACCCUAAUUAAGUUAAUAACAAUGUACCUACCUAUAUAGUUUAAGUUUA